UGGGGAAUUUUGGACAAUGGGGGAAACCCCGAUCCAGCCAUCCCGCGUGUGCGAUGAAGGCCUUCGGGUUGUAAAGCACUUUUGGCAGGAAAGAAACGUCGCGGGUUAAUACCCCGCGAAACUGACGGUACCUGCAGAAUAAGCACCGGCUAACUACGUGCCAGCAGCCGCGGUAAUACGUAGGGUGCAAGCGUUAAUCGGAAUUACUGGGCGUAAAGCGUGCGCAGGCGGUUCGGAAAGAAAGAUGUGAAAUCCCAGAGCUUAACUUUGGAACUGCAUUUUUAACUACCGGGCUAGAGUGUGUCAGAGGGAGGUGGAAUUCCNCGUGUAGCAGUGAAAUGCGUAGAUAUGCGGAGGAACACCGAUGGCGAAGGCAGCCUCCUGGGAUAACACUGACGCUCAUGCACGAAAGCGUGGGGAGCAAACAGGAUUAGAUACCCUGGUAGUCCACGCCCUAAACGAUGUCAACUAGCUGUUGGGGCCUUCGGGCCUUGGUAGCGCAGCUAACGCGUGAAGUUGACCGCCUGGGGAGUACGGUCGCAAGAUU
rnacentral:rRNA from 1 species